AGGGGGGUUUAAUUCGUUCGGUUUGAUUCUGUUUCGGAAUAAAUUUAGAGUUUAUUUGGUUCGAAGUUAGAAUCAGUAUCGAAAUUAGAAUCAGAAAAAAAAAUAAGUUAGAAAUAAAAUCAAAAUGAUUUAUUAUUUCAUUCUGUUUGAUCCGUCGUCAGAGUCAGAAUAAACCAUUCUUAUUGUCGGCAUUUGGCUCAGACAGAUAUAAAAAGCGUAAUCAAAUUAAUGUGUCAAUUUUAUAUUUAUAAUAUAUUAGUUUAAAUUCAAAUUGAAAAUUUAAUAUUAAAACUUUACGUCAAAAUUUUAAAAUGAUGUCAAAAUUUUAAAUAUGUUUUUUUAAAAAAAUUAAAACUUGAAAUUAAACGAAUAAUUCAAAAUGUAAAACUAAAAUUUGAUUUAUUCAAAUUCAAACUUAAAAUUAUAAUUUAAAUUUCGAUUUGAAUCCAUAAAUUUAAUUUAAAUUUUAAAUAAAAUUUGAAUAAAACUUUAGGUUUUUAAAUUAAAUUUAAAUUUAAAUUCAAAUUUAUAAAAUAGAUUUGAAAUGCUUGAUUGAAUUUUAAUUUUUAAUUUAAGUUCAAAUUAAAAUUUAAAUUUAUAAAUAUACUUUUUAAACUUAAAUUUAUAUUUUAAUUACAAAAUAAGAUAAAAAAGUUAAAUUUAAUCCAAACAAAUUCAUUCCGUCCGGAUUCAAUUUUAGAUUCGCGCGGUCUCUUAGGCCGGACUGAAAAAAAGGAUAAUUGGGAAAUUCCCAUUCACCCGGGAAUCGAAAUCGGAAUGAAAAUUCUGCAUAUCAAAUACGGACAAACGGAUUCGUUCAUUCCGACUCUGAUUCCAUGGUGAAAAAGGGUUGAACCAAACACGCCCUUAUAAAAUUGAACCAUUA
rnacentral:lncRNA from 1 species